rfam:Patagioenas fasciata monilis isolate BTP2013 Sc31e1R_55, whole genome shotgun sequence.
CCCAGCGCCUCGACCGCCGUGCGGAGCGCCGAGGGCCGGGCCCGGCCGGUGGGGCUCAGGCCAUUAUUUUACCGUAAAUCUUUGAAACGCUGGAACUAAUUACGGCGAGGAUAUGUCUCAAUUUGUUCCGCAUUAGUGCCGCGCCGGGACGCAGGCACCGAGCACGGGAAAUUGAUGAGCCAGGCCCAGCCCAGCCCCGCGGCGGCCCGUCGGGAC